rnacentral:rRNA from 1 species
UAGAUGUAAGGUCCUUAGGAUAGUAAAUCUUCAGCGGGACGAUAAUGACGGUACCCGACAAGAAGAAGCCCCGGCUAACUUCGUGC